UGGCCGCUCAAUCCCGAUCGGACGAUGCGUACGAAGCGGUGCCCCCUGGCAAGUAGGGCCACGAAGACACACACGCACACCUCUCUUCUCUGAUCUCUCUUACCUCGUUCCCCACUCGCUCCUGAUGCGCCGCCGCCGCCUGCUGCUCUGGCUGCCGCCGACCGCACCCGCUGCCGCUGCUCGCCGUCCCAGCUCCGUGGAGCAGAGGCUGCAUCGUCGCAUGGCAGAGAUUGCAUCUCCGUGGCAGAGGUUACAUCCCGGCGGUGCCUGCUGCAUCCUUGCGGCGGAGCUGCAUCGACGCCGGCGGAGGCUCCAUAGUAGCGGGGCGGAUGCUGCAUCUCUCACAGAAUGUCAUCCUCACGGCAUCUGCUUCACCUUUGUUGCGGACGCUUCAUAUUUGCAGCGCCUGCCUCAUCUUUGCUGCGGAGGCUUCAUCCUCGCGGGCAGCGAUUUCGGCCUCGCGGAGUUGACUACAUCCUAUCGAGGAGGCUCCAUCCCCAGUGCGUCAGCUACAUCAUAGCGGCGGAGGUUCCAUGCAUGCGGAGGUGUCCACACCCCUGCGUCUACUGCAGUCUCCGCCGCGAGGAUGGAUCAUCGGCAAACUGCAGCUACAUCUUCGUGUGCGCAGGUUCCAUCCGCACCCACCAGCAACAUCCUCGCCCCGCCGGCCGGGUGCGUGCGUCACGAAGCUAAAUCCUCUAUCCGUCGGCACUUGCUCGUUUCGGCGGCUACAUCCUCGCGCCGCCGGACAAACCAUCGAGUCUCCAGGGUACAUCCUCAUGUCUCCUACAUGUUUUGCAGUCCCAAUCUCGUUCUCCGGUGACAAAUCUGUUGCAGAUCAGGAGGAACCAUCAGAUGUAACUGAUUUGGACCAGAGAAUAAGAGGAGGGGGGUGGAGAAACUUACAGAUGAUGCAUUCGGAUGGAGGAGGAAGUUUUCUGCGACGUGAUGUAACAGAUCCUGGUUUGAAAGAAUCCUGCAUCCAUAUGUAACUUAUUUUUUCUCUUCCCUCUUCUGCUAUGGUUCUUCCCUGUGCAUCUUCUUCGUUGUCUUGUACUCUGUAUUAGUUUU